rnacentral:rRNA from 1 species
AGCGAACGCUGGCGGAAUGCUUAACACAUGCAAGUCGCACGGGGGCUUCGGCCUUAGUGGCGGACGGGUGAGUAACGCGUAGGAAUGUGUCCGAGGGUGGGGGAUAACGUUGGGAAACUGACGCUAAUACCGCAUAUCCCCUGAGGGGGGAAAGCAGAGAUGCGCCCACGGAGCAGCCUGCGUCCGAUUAGCUAGUUGGUUAGGUAAAGGCUGACCAAGGCGACGAUCGGUAGCUGGUCUGAGAGGAUGAUCAGCCACACUGGAACUGAGACACGGUCCAGACUCCUACGGGAGGCAGCAGUGGGGAAUAUUGGACAAUGGGCGCAAGCCUGAUCCAGCAAUUCCGCGUGGGUGAAGAAGGUCUUCGGAUUGUAAAGCCCUUUCGUUGGGGACGAUGAUGACGGUACCCUAAGAAUAAGGUCCGGCUAACUUCGUG